AAAAAGAUAAGCUAAAAAAGCUAAUAGGUUCAUACCCUAUUUAUAAAGGUAAUACCCCUUUUCUUUUUA
rnacentral:tRNA from 1 species